UUUAAGCUGCGACUGUGCAACCAAUUUCAAAACUCAUUACUAGAUAUCGCCAGUGUUGCCUUUGUUGUUGUUACGUCGUUAAACGAGGCAAAAAUGGCGAAACAAAUUGUAGCUAAUUAAUACUUAUAUUCCUCAGAUUUCAUAUACCAAAUUGAACUUCGUAUUAUAAAUGCAUACUGUCAGUCAUUCCUAAAGUUGACUUAGCGCUCAGUCACUUUCCCUCCAAUAGACCCAUCAUGUUGUCAAAAGCCUAAAACUCAUGUGUGAAGCUCACAUAUCGUGGAGUACAAAUGUGUGGAGACAAGAUAUUUCUCCGUUACUGCUACCACACCAACCACGUCAAAUGCCUUACUAAAUUCAGCACCAUUCACCCAUAUGAUAAAGUAUCAGAAAAUUUACCUCAACUUAAGGAGUAAGGCUGUUGGUUGCUGUGAUUUCCAUUUUUGUGGUUUUUUAUCAUGAAAAUCUUCAGUAUGCUUCUUAGUAUAGAGCACGUAAUAGAUCCUUAAGCCAAUGCUGACCUUUGUCCAUGAAGGAAGAGGGACAUCCAGCAACGUUCUGCUCCAUCCUUAUCUUCCCGACGUACGCUCAUCUAGCUUCACUGCUUUUGCUGCUACAACUUGUCUUACUUCACCGACGAGUUGGAACACUUAGUGGUCGCUACCCUUUGCUGUUACACACCUGCAGUUACUCACCACGGUUAUGCCCAGGUAAUGCAGAAGAGACGUCGAGAAGAUGGACAUCAAAACAUCGCCGG
rnacentral:lncRNA from 1 species